AUUGAACGCUGGCGGCAGGCCUAACACAUGCAAGUCGAACGAGUGGCGGACGGGUGAGUAAUGUGUGGGAAACUGCCCGAUGUAGGGGGGUAACUACUGGAAACGGUGGCUAAUACCGCAUACCAUCGGAUGUGCCCCGAUGGGAUUAGCUAGUGGGUGGGGUAACGGCUCACCUAGGCGACGAUCCCUAGCUGGUCUGGGAGGCUGACCAGCCACACUGGAACUGAGACACGGUCCAGACUCCUACGGGAGGCAGCAGUGGGGAAUAUUGCACAAUGGGCGCAAGCCUGAUGCAGCCAUGCCGCGUGUAUGAAGAAGGUCUUCGGGUUGUAAAGUACUUUCAGCGGGGAGGCGUUACCCGCAGAAGAAGCACCGGCUAACUCCGUGCCAGCAGCCGCGGUAAUAC
rnacentral:rRNA from 1 species